AGAACGAACGCUGGCGGCAUGCCUAAUACAUGCAAGUCGAACGAACUCUUCGGAGUUAGUGGCGCACGGGUGCGUAACGCGUGGGAAUCUGCCCCUUGGUUCGGAAUAACAGUUGGAAACGACUGCUAAUACCGGAUGAUGACGAAAGUCCAAAGAUUUAUCGCCAAGGGAUGAGCCCGCGUAGGAUUAGCUAGUUGGUGAGGUAAAGGCUCACCAAGGCAACGAUCCUUAGCUGGUCUGAGAGGAUGAUCAGCCACACUGGGACUGAGACACGGCCCAGACUCCUACGGGAGCAGCAGUAGGGAAUAUUGGACAAUGGGCGCAAGCCUGAUCCGGCAAUGGCCGCGUGAGUGAUGAAGGCUUAGGGUUGUAAAGCUCUUUACCCGAGAUGAUAAUGACAGUAGUCGGAAGAAAUAAGCCCCGGACUAACUCCGUGCCAGCAGCCGC
rnacentral:rRNA from 1 species